AGGCGAGAGCAGCUCCGGCCGCCCGUGGGGNCGCGGGAAUUCUAUUAUAGUUUGAUCCUUGGUGUCACACCCUUUCACAGGGGGCGGGAGUAAACACAUGCAGGUUCCACCAGCGAGCACACGGGUACCCUUGCUCCCUGUUGUGACAAGCGGCGCCACGUGAGGAGAUACAUGUCUGAGUCAACUGCACUGAUGGAGGGAGGACAACUCCUAGGAAACGGUGACUAACUACCCUACAACGUCUCAGAAACAACAAGGGGCCCUUUCGCGCCCACGUGUCUUAAAAAAGCCCACAUGGAAUAACUAUAUAGGAGGGUGAAAUGAUCUCCCAAUGACAACUACCCCUACCUGUUCUGAAAGGUAUGAUCAGCCACACUGGAACUGAGACACGGCCCAGACUCCUACCGGAGGAAGCACUGCAGAAAUAUUGCAUAAGGCGGUGGGAAGCCCUAAAGCUCACCAUUCGCCCCCGUGGUGAGAAAAAGGCUUACUGUGGUGUGAAUAAACCUCCCUACUGCGAAAGAAAGACGGGUAGCAUUCUUAAAUACAACUCUCUCGAAUUUGGCUGUACCCUUCACCUCAUGAAGAAUAUACACCUUCAGCUGACUCAGCCCGUAGACAUCACCAUAUAACUGACUAAAACAGUGAAGGAGUGUCUAACACGUCUUAAUUUGCAAACUUCAUUGCGCAGGUUCCCUUCAGCCUGAUAGGACAAGCCUGUAGAUUUUAGCCGCACCCUAAUAGUUCCGCACAGAGAGUAAA
rnacentral:rRNA from 1 species